CGCCGCGGUUAUACGAGGGGCUCAAGUUGAUGGCCCUCGGCGUAAAGAGUGGUUAAGAAAUAUAACACUAAAGCCAAACACCUUCAUAGCUGUCAUACGCACUUGAAGACAGGAAGACCUUCCACGAAAGUGGCUUUAAAAACUCUGAACCCACGAAAGCUAGGAUA
rnacentral:rRNA from 2 species